UCAAACAAAAGUAAAGAAUCUCUUUAAUUUUAAAGAAGACAACAAACGUAACAACAAGAAAUAGAGAAAACAGUGAAAAGGAAAGAAAUAUUAAGAGAAUUUAAAAAUUAAAAAUUGCAAUACUAUUUGCAUUCAGUGCGUUCAAACGAAUAAGAAAAUAAAUUCCAACAAAUCCCUUAAUUUCGCAGUUACUGUGUUUGCAUCACAAAAUUUCAUCCACCAAAAUCAAAACUGGAAAUUAUUACCUCUUUGCUCAGCUUCUCUUGAUCAGACAAAUACAACCGCAGAUUACAACCAACUCGACCAACCCAAAGCAGCAGCAACAACCACCCAAGUCGUGUACAACAUCGCGAACCAGAUGUUUACAGAUGUACAUUGUGUAAACGUUUUCAUGCUCUACGAUUUUGUCAAAAAUUCCUAAACAUGUCUGUGAAAAGAAGAGAAGAAAUGGUCAGCAGAAAUCGUUAUUGCAGGAACUGUCUAGCAAGAAGUCAUAACAUCAAAUCAUGUACAUCCAGAGAUACCUGCAAGAAAUGUGGACAUUUACAUCACACGCUCUUACACCCUGUACACAUUCGGUUCGAGCGCACAGGAGAUGUUCAGAGGAGAACGUCGAGCCAACAUCCAACUGUAUCACAAACUGAAAGACAUCAACAAAAUCAAAACUCCACACUCCACACUCUCGGCAACACCAGACUCCAAGAUACUUUUACAAGCCAUUAAAUCACUGGCUCAAGUACUUUGCGUUAAUGACAACACACCAACUGUUGCCUAAAGGCAAGACCGGCGCCAUGUCCAAAGAAGCUUUGGACACAAAAUAUAAAAUAUUGAAUUUAAUAAGUAAAAUGUAAUAGAUUAAUAUCGCUUAAAUAUUAAGAAGUAAAGAAUUGUAAACACUAUUUAGUACCUACUCGCCACAAAUUCCGAAUAAUUUAAGUUACAUGAAAAACGAAGAUACUAACUUAAAUUAGAAUUUAUAAACUUCACUUAUCCUACAACCGUCCUGGAGACCACUUGAAUUCAAUAAAAUUAUAAUCAAAACCAA